CAAAAGACCAAUUAGUGGAAAAAAGAUCAGAAUUGGGCUGCCUGUGUGAACGCAGCCUCAGUGUUGCAUUCAACUUAGGCUCCAGCAGUGGACAGGCCACUAUCUGAGACCACCCACAGCUGCAAUGGAUGAAUUGCUUCAUGUCAUCACUUCUACAGCGACGUUAUUGAUACAGCUAGACCAAACUGCACUGCAAAAGACAGAGGAGUUGCCCUCUACCAGCAGAUGAAGGGGACCAUAACUUAUCUUCUUCUCCUAUUACACGCAUCACCAUGUCCUCACAGUUCUCCAACUAACCACCAGGUGGAGCUACAGAACAGACCAACAGCAUACAGCAUAGGCCAGAGAUUUGAAGGCAUCAGUGCUUCCCAACUGAGCUCAGGGCUGAGAAUUCUUAAGUACAUACCAGUAUAUGCUCUGCUCAUCAAAAUGACAUGAUUCUCUCUAUAUGACUAAAUGAAGAGAGACAUUUAAAAUUGACCAUAUGUGCUUAAUCUUGUAUGUAUUUUAAUGGUCACUGCAUAUUAAAGCACCAAAUGACUUUAAA